UGGAGCGAAAGCGCGACUGACGGUACUGGCUCCCUUGCGGGGCCAGGGCUGAGGAAGCUCCCAACUACGUGUCGACGCCAGUCCUGUGCGAACAGGGAGGCGAGAACCUCGCUCUGGGAACAGAAACGAUACGUCCGGACAGGACAUGACAAUGAUGCGGAACAGUCUUGGUCCGCUGAGGACCUGCCUAGGAUUGCUGAAACGGCCCAACACUGGGUAGCAACUCCAAGAAUACGCCUAUGACGUGCCGACCUGAGGCGUAGGGUAGGAGGCUUAGUCUGAUGUCGCGGAGUCCUCCACGGUGACGCGGACGGGCACAACAGAAUUGGGGCUACUCUUCGAACCA
rnacentral:RNase_P_RNA from 1 species